rnacentral:rRNA from 1 species
CCUACGGGAGGCAGCAGUGGGGAAUAUUGCGCAAUGGGGGAAACCCUGACGCAGCAACGCCGCGUGGAGGAAGAAGGUCUUCGGAUUGUAAGCUCCUGUCUUCUGGGACGAUAAUGACGGUACCAGAGGAGGAAGCCACGGCUAACUACGUGCCAGCAGCCGCGGUAAU